rnacentral:lncRNA from 1 species
UUUUUUUCUUCUUUUCUACGGGGUAGAUUUAUGUCUCCCGACUAUGUAAUUCUUCGUAGCGUAAAAAAACUAAUUGCUUAAUUAGUUUUGCCUCGACUGGACUUGGUCUUAAUUUUGUUGAAUGAAAUUCGGAGUACUACAACCACACACUCAUUAACUUUUACGUUGAAAUAUUCAUGUAGGAGCGCGGAUUAUAAAAGUUCUGGGUAGCCAACCACACAUAGAAAUAAACAUCAGAAGAAACUGCGGGUUGAGAGAAGCUUCUCUUGGUUCAGUAAUUUCUUGGUUUUAUCUGUGACAAUACAGAAGUAAAGGAAAGUCGCAUGGAUUCCGAGAGGUUUCUUAUGAAGGUGACAAUGAUAAGCAUCCAAAACUUCAUUAAUGUGAGGGUGGCUCAUUGUCUCCUCUUCGGGUAAUAACAGCAAGUACCAGAGCAAGAUAGCUUUGAAUACUAAAUGCCACGUACUUACAAUUUCUCGCAUGCCAGCGAAGGUGGCACAUUGUCUCUCCUAUAAUAGUCCUCGGCAUUUGCUAAUGGAGAGAAGACCACAACUGCCUUCCACCUUUUCUUUAUGGUUUUCUUGUUACCAGUUACUAGCUACAGUAAUAUUGUAUGUAGACGUGCACACAAUAUUAGAUUUGGAUUUGGAUUUGUAUAAUUGCAUUGCAUUGAAUAUGAUUUGGGACCAUAACUUACCUACAACAGACUACAUACAAGUACAACAUUUACAGUUUCUUAGUUAAUUAACCUGUUUUCUAUUAUAUUUAUUUUAAAAAUUAGCUUAUCGUGGUAUACAAUUUGGUUUUUAUGAGGGUUGCAUGCACUCUGUUAGUUUGUUGGAUACAAGUUUCUCUCUUUAUAUAGAUAGCACUGAAAAAUUCAUAACAAUGUGAUUUUUUUCUACUUGCUGUUUGCUAGGUCAUUCAUUUUAUCAUUGAAUCGAAAGAAAAAAGUAAAGCCUUAAAUCAAGUAUGCCUAAACAUUCUAAUCCAAAUUAUAUAUUUUGUAUUUAAUUUUCACGCACCUUGAUCUAUUUAUUUAUGCCUCUUUUUUUUUUCUUUGAUUUAUUUAUUUAUAAUUUGACGGCCAAAAAUGAAUAUGAAUGUGUAAACAAAUUUUGUGGAAAUAAUUUCUCUUUAAAAAAAAAAUCCAUUCUGAAAUAUGUCUCUGGUCUUUGAACAAUAGAAGCAGAGCCUGUUAAUUGAGAUGGGCUUGGUCAUCUUGCUCAAACCCUAAUAGGACUUAACGGUCAAAUAGGAAACAAAACAAACAAUUAAGUUUCAAAAGUAUCCUUAAAACUUAGAACGCUGUUUUGGUUAUCUUUUGAAGAAAAUUAAUGAAAAUGGUUUGAUAACUUUGAGUUUUAAUGAUAAGAACAAAAUAAAGGGUAAAGUGAAUAGUACCAGGUUUGACUUUUUAAUGUAAAAAUAUGAUUUUUCGUUAAAGUGAACAGUACCGUAGGCUUUUCGUUAAAACUCUCUAUCUUUUGUUUAUUAUCAAUCACACACAAGUUUAUGAUCUCUCUUUCUUCCUGGUUAAUUCUAAAUUUUGCUACUUGUUUCUAGCCAAAUAUUAUUGUUCAGUUCUCCUUUUUAUAUCCCGUUGCAUCAACUUUAAGUUACAAUCUGGUAAACUAAACCUGAAUUGCAAUAUCACAUGGAAUGACGAGUGUUCCUCACAGAUACAAAAUUCAGAUCCUUCACUUCUCCAACAAGUAAUCUUGUGACCCUGUUGAGAAGUUAUAGACGCCAUCUUAGUUUGCUCUCAAUAAAGGGGUGUACCAUGUACUUGCAAAAGGCACUUCGAUCUCAGGUGAGUGGUUGAGAUGAAUUCAGUAGAAUCUAGAAUAAUUUUGAACCUCUUGUGAGUGGUUGAGAUGGAUUCAGUGGAAUCUAGAUUAAUUUUAUAUCUAUUUUCAUUAUCUUUAAUUGGCAAUGAUCAUUCUUGUUUGGUACUCGGUCAAUUGGUUUAUAUGACAGGACCUUGGUGUUGCCAAAACAGGGUCUGGAAAGAAACUUGCUUUUGGUUUGCCCAUUUUGCAACGCUUGUUGGAUGAACUACAAGGGUUUGUAUAUCAAAUACCUGAAGUUCCCCUAAGUUGUAUGUCUGAAAUAAAAGUCCCACGAUUUAGAGGAAAAUGAUUGUGUAAGUCUUAUGUGUUACAUGUGCUUGGCGGCAGAGCAUACAUAGCGCCUAAGUAAAUUUGAAGAGAGGCCAAUACAAUUGGAAGACCCUUGAUAAUGGCCAAACAAGAAGCCUGGAAUUCUAGUGCACACAUGUUUAAGCCCGACUUAUGAGCCUAAAAGCUUGAAAGAGAUAUAUCUCUUUAAUAGUGUUAGAACUGAUAACAUCAGCCCUUAAAUAUGUUAUUCCCUUUGUCUUAACAUUUUAUGUUCCUUGUAGAUAAGUAUCGUUAUAAAAGUGUUAUGGGCUUUUUCUUUGUUAACUUAUAUAUAAUUAGUUACUUUGAAUAUAUAAUUUGUUGGAAAUUUUGAGUAGAGAAUUUCAUUGUCUCACAUUGCUCACCACUAUAAGGUUUCAUCACUUUAUAAGGCUUUGUCCCUUAUAGAAAGUGAUUAAAGUGAUGGACCUUGGAGAUUAAAAUUGGGCUCACCCCAUCUGAAGAGAUGUCUCCCAACAAUCACAUCUCAUUCUUAUACCUGUUGCGAACAUAGCAUUCUUAUUGAGAGUACAAAUUUGUCAGAAGCAAUCAUACUUAUUCCCAAUUCUUCAUGUAAUUCGAUGAUCAAAUUGUCGUCUUCUUCGAGAGUAGUUUCCCAUUUUACACCCAGUUGAAGCUCGUUCGUCCAUCUUAGUUUGCAACUUUUGCCACACCUUACUAAACUUGCAGUGAAAUUAUAUGUGUUGAUGCACAAAAUCGGGUUGAUUUUGGACUAACGUAAAUCCGACUGUGAAUCACACAAACGCACAAAAACGCAAAGAUAUAUUGUGGUUCACCUCAAGUUGAGGCUACGUCCACACUGAUGUUGAUUCUGUUUCACUAUGUAAAUGAAUGUUGAAUAUACAUGGAGGCUAUAGAGGCAGUGUUUGCUCUCUUUGCUAUUCUGUUUGCUCUUCCGUUUCCUCUCUGUCUGUUUCCCUUCUUUCCUCAUCGAGUCUCGUCCCUUAAGUGAGUGUAAGGGAGCCCUUUUAUAGAAUAAGGGUUUCCUCCCCUCUUACAUGAAUCAUGGGCUAAGUAAUGAAGCUUAAAUACUGAGGCCCAAUAUAUGGUACAACAAUAUGCAAAACAAACCAGUGUAUUUGAUCAUUAUACCUCACUCGAAUUGUCUGAUAUAUCAAGCAUGCUUAUUGCUUGAAGGGUCCUUAAGCAUGUGAUCCAACCCAAAGCUAAAUGACGAUUUUUGGAAAUUACAGUCAAAUUAGUCACACAUACUCUCAUAAUAGUUGAAUGGGGAUGAAAAAGGAAGUCACAAAUAAGCCCAGAACGUUGUAGCUAACCUAUGAUUUAUGAGAUUAAGCUUAAGAAAAUUCUCUGAAGACACAAUUAAGUGUUAUUUUAUGUACUUGCCAGCAAGUUUGGGAAGUGCACGCCAGUUCAUAUGACCAUCCUUAGUUUUCCUUUUAAUUGUCUUCUUCAGGAUUCCAUGCUCCUUUCUUUUGUCCAUUUUUGUCACAGAAGGGCGCUCUCACCAUCCUGUAGACUCCUCUCUCGCUAGCCAUCUCUGAAAUCAAGUUUUUUUUUUUUUUUUUUUUUUUUUUUUUUUCCUAGGUGAUCAAAAUAACACUCUAGCAGUAUUUAUAGUUUACACACACACACACACAUACACACAUGAUUAGAGUGAACAUGUGGUGACAUAAAGCCUCAUGUGAAACGGGAAGAAGAGGUCACAAUAGCUACAGAGCAAUCUUUUUAUCAUUAAUUGUUAGAAGUGUGCUAAUUUUACUGAAGAUUAUAAGUGCUUUUCUUGGUGAAUUUUUUAAGAACUUUUUGAUGAUUAUGCAUAGCUCCACAAUGUGCUUCCUUGGCAACAUGAUGGCUUUUUAACAAUAAGGUUUAAUUUCACAAUGAACUUUAUAGGCUAAUGGUACUUCUCUUUGCACACAAAAAAAAUCUCCUCACCUAUAUCAUUAUUUUGGGCUAACUAUAAUUUACACUCUAUAAAGCAAAACUUCAAAAUGGGCCAUAAAAUUCUAAUUUUCUCACAUUACGUACAUUCUAUAAUUUUGAAAUUAUAUAUUAAUUUACACUUUUUAUCUCUUAGAAUAUCUAAUCCUCCUGUAAAUUGAUGAGUUUUAUUUGUCAAUAUUGGGCAAAUGUUGCAUGUAUGUUAGCGCUCAUAUAAGGCUCCUACUAAUUUAAUGAAGGAUCAAACAAUCAAUCUAACAAGGGUUUUUAUCACAAAUGGUCCUUGAAAUUGACCCUCACCAUCAAGAUGGUCCUUAAAAUUGAAAAUCAAUCAAUGUAGUCCCUAAAAAUAAGUGUCGCAAAUCAAUGUGGUCCUUCUGUCACAAGUCUUUUAAAAAUUACAUUAAGUGCUGAUGUGGUACAUAAAUGGGCCCCACAAGAUUCACGGGUUUUUAUCACAAAUUGACACGCCCCAACCCCGAUGUCCUCGGGACAUCGGGAUGGUCACUUGCUGGCCGACACCCCAAGGGUGAUGAAAGCCAUUUAAUUUAAGCAAAAGCUAAGAAAUAUGCUAAAAUAGGCAAUAGGGACUAAUAACACAAUACUAAAGUUCAACUGCUAGUUAAUAAAUAUUAAGAUAACACCAUAUGUUCAGAGCAUACGUCUAAUACAGAGUACAAGCGGAAUUUAAGACAGAGAAGUGUUAUUACAAUAGGUGCCCAAACAGAGACGAUAUAGCACGAAAUUACUGGUCGGGAAUUUCCUUGUAGCUCAGAUUGUAUUCCUUGUUAUAUGGUCCUGAAGGGGGCGCAAAACAAACGUGAGUGGACCAAGUUGAUAUAUAUAUAUAUAUAUAUAUAUAUAUAGAAUAAAACAGUUAUCAACAUACUAACCUCCAGGUUUUAUGAAAACACAUAUAUAAUGAUAAACAUAGGUUUUCCAAAACCUAGCAUGCCGUGCAAUGUCUCAAAUCAUAACUUGUAUAUAUAAUAAUCACUAGUGAAUUGUCCGAUAACCCCCAGGCCCUAUGCCAGCUCCCCGUCCCUGUGCUAAAUAGCCAAAGGAAACACACUCCAAGCCCCAUGCUAACACCAAACCGUCGCUCGGGACGGACCAUAAUCUAUCCCUACGUCCCGUAACGGAAAAGACCACUAGGUAAGUACAAAACCAUUGAACAUAUAUAUAUUGAAAAGCAAUUUCAUAGUAUAAAGUCAUCCAUCAUCUAUACUAUAAAGAGGUGUUCGAAACAUGUUCUAAAUAUCAUAUCGUCAUCCAUCGGAUAUUCUAUAAGAACAUGGGUUAUAGGAAAAAUAGUAAUAAUUCAAACUAGUCUCAGUAAACAUGUUAUCUCAUAAAACAUUUCAUAAAAUGUAAUCAUUAAAUCAUGCUUUUCAUGUAUACAUUUCUACUGUUAAAACAUGCAUUUUUAGAAGGGGUCCACUCACCGUACACCGUUGGUGCAAAGCCAUACCAAAAAGGAAUAACGGAAUCACCCCUAAUAAUCACACCUAUUCACAUAAAAGAGUACAUUUAGUCAAACUCUACUCAAACGAUUGAAUUUGGAAAAAUGGACUUAAAAAACGAGUCCAGGACAUCGAAAUUAGCCUAAGAGAGGUCCCGAACAAAAUCCCAAAAAGUCAACGAUCAAAGUCAACAUUGACAGUUGACCGUUGACCGAUCAAAGUCAAUGGUCAAAGUUAAAGUCAACUGUCAGAGUCAACCGUUUAGGGUUUGGGUAUUGGGUCCGGUUUGGGCCUUAGGGAUUUAGGUCAAAUGGGUUGGUUUGGUCUAUAGGGUUAGGGUUUUAGAUAAUUAGGUGGGCUAGUUCUUAGGGGUUUAUGAGGUCUCUGGGCUUGGGCCCAGACCUACACGGCCUGAGGGCCUAAUUAAAAGGGUUUAGGGUUUAGUCAACAUGCUAAGGGCUUUAAAUGAAAUGGCCCAAAGACCUUUUGGGUCUUAAGGAAUUUUAAAUAAAAAUAAAAGUAAAAACUGAAAGGGAAAUGGUUUUGGGCUGAAACAAAAUGGGCUUAAGGCCCAUGGGUUGAGGAAUGACCUAAAGGGCUUGGUGCGAACGGAGAAGAACGCCGGAGCUUCUACAGCUCCGGCCGACUGCAAAUGUACAUCUUAGGCUCCAAUCUAGGUAUCAAAAUGAAGCACAAGACGAGAGUAGUAUUUUUAUACCUUCCGUUUGCCGUGAAAUGGUCGGAGGUGUUCGAAAAGUUCAUCGACACCCACGGCCUGACCGGAGCUGGGUGUGCCUUCCCCUAAGCCGAUCUAGCUCUCCAACCUUGGAAAUAAUGAGAUACCGCUCAAAAAUCACAUCCAAGCAUCACACUAAAAUGGAGCGAGGAAGAUCCAAGGCUUACCUUGAUUUCAAAAGAAAAAGAGAACCUUGUCAGAGUUCAUUUUUCUGGGUUUCGUCGUC